rnacentral:rRNA from 1 species
ACGAACGCUGGCGGCGUGCUUAACACAUGCAAGUCGAGCGGUAAGGCCCUUUCGGGGGUACACGAGCGGCGAACGGGUGAGUAACACGUGGGUGACCUGCCCUCAGCUCUGGGAUAAGCCUGGGAAACCGGGUCUAAUACCGGAUAUGACUCCAUGACGCAUGUUGUGGGGUGGAAAGCCUUGUGCGGCUGAGGAUGGGCCCGCGGCCUAUCAGCUUGUUGGUGGGGNGAUGGCCUACCAAGGCGACGACGGGUAGCCGGCCUGAGAGGGCGACCGGCCACACUGGGACUGAGACACGGCCCAGACUCCUACGGGAGGCAGCAGUGGGGAAUCUUGCGCAAUGGGCGAAAGCCUGACGCAGCGACGCCGCGUGAGGGAUGACGGCCU